rnacentral:ncRNA from 2 species
CAUUCGGACACGGGGUGCCGGCAGUCGGUCGGCUGAGAUCAGACCCGUCGAACCUGCCCCAGUUCGCACUGGCGAAGGGAUGAUCAUGUCUGGCGCA